GGUUAAGCGACUAAGCGUACACGGUGGAUGCCCUGGCAGUCAGAGGCGAUGAAGGGCGUGCUAAUCUGCGAUAAGCGCCGGUAAGGUGAUAUGAACCGUUAUAACCGGCGAUACCCGAAUGGGGAAACCCAGUGUGACUCGUCACACUAUCAUUAACUGAAUCCAUAGGUUAAUGAGGCGAACCGGGGGAACUGAAACAUCUAAGUACCCCGAGGAAAAGAAAUCAACCGAGAUUCCCCCAGUAGCGGCGAGCGAACGGGGAGGAGCCCAGAGCCUGAAUCAGCAUGUGUGUUAGUGGAAGCGUCUGGAAAGGCGCGCGAUACAGGGUGACAGCCCCGUACACAAAAGCGCAUGUGCUGUGAGCUCGAUGAGUAGGGCGGGACACGUGGUAUCCUGUCUGAAUAUGGGGGGACCAUCCUCCAAGGCUAAAUACUCCUGACUGACCGAUAGUGAACCAGUACCGUGAGGGAAAGGCGAAAAGAACCCCGGCGAGGGGAGUGAAAAAGAACCUGAAACCGUGUACGUACAAGCAGUGGGAGCACAGGUUUACCUGUGUGACUGCGUACCUUUUGUAUAAUGGGUCAGCGACUUAUAUUCUGUAGCAAGGUUAACCGAAUAGGGGAGCCGGAGGGAAACCGAGUCUUAAUUGGGCGUUAAGUUGCAGGGUAUAGACCCGAAACCCGGUGAUCUAGCCAUGGGCAGGUUGAAGGUUGGGUAACACUAACUGGAGGACCGAACCGACUAAUGUUGAAAAAUUAGCGGAUGACCUGUGGCUGGGGGUGAAAGGCCAAUCAAACCGGGAGAUAGCUGGUUCUCCCCGAAAGCUAUUUAGGUAGCGCCUCGUGAAUUCAUCUCCGGGGGUAGAGCACUGUUUCGGCUAGGGGGCCAUCCCGGCUUACCAACCCGAUGCAAACUGCGAAUACCGGAGAAUGUUAUCACGGGAGACACACGGCGGGUGCUAACGUCCGUCGUGAAGAGGGAAACAACCCAGACCGCCAGCUAAGGUCCCAAAGUCAUGGUUAAGUGGGAAACGAUGUGGGAAGGCCCAGACAGCCAGGAUGUUGGCUUAGAAGCAGCCAUCAUUUAAAGAAAGCGUAAUAGCUCACUGGUCGAGUCGGCCUGCGCGGAAGAUGUAACGGGGCUAAACCAUGCACCGAAGCUGCGGCAGCGACACUGUGUGUUGUUGGGUAGGGGAGCGUUCUGUAAGCCUGUGAAGGUGGCCUGUGAGGGUUGCUGGAGGUAUCAGAAGUGCGAAUGCUGACAUAAGUAACGAUAAAGCGGGUGAAAAGCCCGCUCGCCGGAAGACCAAGGGUUCCUGUCCAACGUUAAUCGGGGCAGGGUGAGUCGACCCCUAAGGCGAGGCCGAAAGGCGUAGUCGAUGGGAAACAGGUUAAUAUUCCUGUACUUGGUGUUACUGCGAAGGGGGGACGGAGAAGGCUAUGUUGGCCGGGCGACGGUUGUCCCGGUUUAAGCGUGUAGGUGUGUGUUCCAGGUAAAUCCGGUUCACUUUAACACUGAGGCGUGAUGACGAGGCACUACGGUGCUGAAGCAACAAAUGCCCUGCUUCCAGGAAAAGCCUCUAAGCAUCAGGUAACAUCAAAUCGUACCCCAAACCGACACAGGUGGUCAGGUAGAGAAUACCAAGGCGCUUGAGAGAACUCGGGUGAAGGAACUAGGCAAAAUGGUGCCGUAACUUCGGGAGAAGGCACGCUGACACGUAGGUGAAGUGAUUUACUCAUGGAGCUGAAGUCAGUCGAAGAUACCAGCUGGCUGCAACUGUUUAUUAAAAACACAGCACUGUGCAAACACGAAAGUGGACGUAUACGGUGUGACGCCUGCCCGGUGCCGGAAGGUUAAUUGAUGGGGUCAGCGCAAGCGAAGCUCCUGAUCGAAGCCCCGGUAAACGGCGGCCGUAACUAUAACGGUCCUAAGGUAGCGAAAUUCCUUGUCGGGUAAGUUCCGACCUGCACGAAUGGCGUAAUGAUGGCCAGGCUGUCUCCACCCGAGACUCAGUGAAAUUGAACUCGCUGUGAAGAUGCAGUGUACCCGCGGCAAGACGGAAAGACCCCGUGAACCUUUACUAUAGCUUGACACUGAACAUUGAGCCUUGAUGUGUAGGAUAGGUGGGAGGCUUUGAAGCGUGGACGCCAGUCUGCGUGGAGCCGACCUUGAAAUACCACCCUUUAAUGUUUGAUGUUCUAACGUGGACCCGUAAUCCGGGUUGCGGACAGUGUCUGGUGGGUAGUUUGACUGGGGCGGUCUCCUCCUAAAGAGUAACGGAGGAGCACGAAGGUUGGCUAAUCCUGGUCGGACAUCAGGAGGUUAGUGCAAUGGCAUAAGCCAGCUUGACUGCGAGCGUGACGGCGCGAGCAGGUGCGAAAGCAGGUCAUAGUGAUCCGGUGGUUCUGAAUGGAAGGGCCAUCGCUCAACGGAUAAAAGGUACUCCGGGGAUAACAGGCUGAUACCGCCCAAGAGUUCAUAUCGACGGCGGUGUUUGGCACCUCGAUGUCGGCUCAUCACAUCCUGGGGCUGAAGUAGGUCCCAAGGGUAUGGCUGUUCGCCAUUUAAAGUGGUACGCGAGCUGGGUUUAGAACGUCGUGAGACAGUUCGGUCCCUAUCUGCCGUGGGCGCUGGAGAACUGAGGGGGGCUGCUCCUAGUACGAGAGGACCGGAGUGGACGCAUCACUGGUGUUCGGGUUGUCAUGCCAAUGGCACUGCCCGGUAGCUAAAUGCGGAAGAGAUAAGUGCUGAAAGCAUCUAAGCACGAAACUUGCCCCGAGAUGAGUUCUCCCUGAGACUUAGAGUCUCCUGAAGGAACGUUGAAGACGACGACGUUGAUAGGCCGGGUGUGUAAGCGCAGCGAUGCGUUGAGCUAACCGGUACUAAUGAACCGUGAGGCUUAACCUUACAACGCCGAAG
rnacentral:rRNA from 1 species